rnacentral:rRNA from 1 species
UAUCGUAACACAGGGGGUGCCGGGGCUGUCGCUGACCUUCAAGGUCGUGCACGCCUCGAGCAUUCUCACUUACAUCCAUCAGACCUUUGUGCAUCACCGCGUGGGCUCCCUUUUGACUUAUAAAAGGGGGGCUUGCGUUCUCACACGUACACCCCUUUGUAAUGCAAAUAGCAUAGAAUGUUUUUACACUUGCGAUCACCCGCAAAUCAAUACAACUUUCAACAACGGAUCUCUUGGCUCUCGCAUCGAUGAAGAACGCAGCGAAAUGCGAUACGUAAUGUGAAUUGCAGAAUUCAGUGAAUCAUCGAAUCUUUGAACGCACCUUGCGCCCCUUGGCAUUCCGAGGGGCACACCCGUUUGAGUGUCGUGAAAUUCUCAACCUUCUCUGCUUCUUUUUUGAUCGGGGAAGGCUUGGACUUUGGAGGCUUCUGCCGGCUUCAACAGAAGCCAGCUCCUCUUAAAUGCAUUAGCGGGGGUUUUCUUUUGUCGAUCCUCGACGUGAUAAAGUUUUUCUACGUCUGGGGAUUGGCUUU